rnacentral:rRNA from 1 species
CAACUGACGCUAAUGCUCGAAAGUGCGGGUAUCGAACAGGAUUAGAUACCCUGGUAGUCCGCACGGUAAACGAUGGAUGCCCGCUGUUGGCGAUAUACUGUCAGCGGCCAAGCGAAAAGCGUUAAGCAUCCCACCUGGGGAGUACGCCGGCAACGGUGAAACUCAAAGGAAUUGACGAGGGCCCGCACAAGCGGAGGAACAUGUGGUUUAAUUCGAUGAUACGCGAGGAACCUUACCCGGGCUUGAACUGCAGCAGAACGAUAGAGAGAUCUUGAGGCCCUUCGGGGCUGCUGUGGAGGUGCUGCAUGGUUGUCGUCAGCUCGUGCCGUGAGGUGUCGGCUUAAGUGCCAUAACGAGCGCAACCCCUUCCGUCAGUUGCCAUCACUUUGGGUGGGCACUCUGGCGGUACUGCCACCGUAAGGUGUGAGGAAGGUGGGGAUGACGUCAAAUCAGCACGGCCCUUACGUCCGGGGCUACACACGUGUUACAAUGGGUGGUACAGAGAGUCAACCGCCGGCAACGUCGGUUUAAUCAAUAAAGCCAUCCUCAGUUCGGAUUGGGGUCUGCAACCCGACCCCAUGAAGCUGGAUUCGCUAGUAA